AUUGAACGCUGGCGGCAGGCCUAACACAUGCAAGUCGAGCGGAUGACGGGAGCUUGCUCCUUGAUUCAGCAGCGGACGGGUGAGUAAUGCCUAGGAAUCUGCCUGGAAGUGGGGGACAACGUUUCGAAAGGAAAGCUAAUACCGCAUACGUCCUACGGGAGAAAGCAGGGGACCUUCGGGCCUUGCGCUAUCAGAUGAGCCUGGGUAGGAUUAGCUAGUUGGUGGGGGAAUGGCUAGCCAAGUGGACGAACCGUAACUGGUCUGAUGAGGAUGAUAAGUCACACUGGAACUGAGACACGGUCCAGACUCCUACGGGAGGCAGCAGUGGGGAAUAUUGGACAAUGGGCGAAAGCCUGAUCCAUCCAUGCCGCGUGUGUGAAGAGGGUCUUCGGAUUGUAAAGCACUUUAAGUUGGGAGGAAGGGCAGUAAGUUAAUACCUUGCUGUUUCGACGUUACCGACAGAAUAAGCACCGGCUAACUCUGUGCCAGCCGCCGCCGUAACAC
rnacentral:rRNA from 1 species